GAAACGCGAUAAGUAAUGUGAAUUGCAGAAUUCAGUGAAUCAUCGAAUCUUUGAACGCACAUUGCGCCCGCUAGUAUUCUGGCGGGCAUGCCUGUUCGAGCGUCAUUUCAACCAUCAAGCCCUAGGCUUGUGUUGGGGGCCUGCAGCCGCUGCAGCCCACUAAAAGCAGUGGCGGGCUCGCUGUCAUUCCGAGCGCAGUAGUUACAUCUCGCUCUGGGCGUGGCAGCGGACACUUGCCGUAAAACACUCUUUCUAAGGUUGACCUCGGAUCAGGUAGGAAUACCCGCUGAACUUAAGC
rnacentral:misc_RNA from 1 species